UACGGAGGAUCCGGGCGUUAUCCGGAUUUAUUAGGUUUAAAGGGUGCGUAGGCGGGAUUGUAAGUCAGUGGUGAAAUCCUGCGGCUUAACCGUAGAACUGCCAUUGAUACUACUAUCCUUGAGUACAGUUGAGGUGGAUGGAAUGUGUUAAGUAGCGGUGAAAUGCUUAGAUAUGACACAGAACACCAAUUGCGAAGGCAGUUCACUAAACUGUCACUGACGCUGAUGCACGAAAGCGUGGGGAUCAAACAGG
rnacentral:rRNA from 1 species